rnacentral:rRNA from 1 species
UACGUAGGGGGCAAGCGUUGUCCGGAAUCAUUGGGCGUAAAGCGCGUGUAGGCGGCCAGAAAAGUCCGCUGUGAAAACUCGAGGCUCAACUUCGAGCUGUCGGUGGAAACUUUCUGGCUAGAGUCCGGAAGAGGAGAAUGGAAUUCCUGGUGUAGCGGUGAAAUGCGCAGAUAUCAGGAGGAACACCGAUUGCGAAGGCAGCUCGCUGGGACGUUACUGACGCUGAGACGCGAAAGCGUGGGGAGCAAACAGG